UACAGAGGGUGCGAGCGUUGUUCGGAAUUACUGGGCGUAAAGCGCGCGCAGGCGGCCUUUUAAGUCUGACGGUGAAAUGCCGGGGCUCAACCCCGUGCCCGCCGGAGAUACUGGGAGGCUGGAGACGAGUAGAGGCAAGCGGAAUUCCGGGUGUAGCGGUGGAAUGCGUAGAGAUCCGGAAGAACACCGGUGGCGAAGGCGGCCUGCUGGGCUAUGGCUGACACUGAGGCGCGACAGCGUGGGGAGCAAACAGG
rnacentral:rRNA from 1 species